rnacentral:rRNA from 1 species
UGGGGAAUAUUGCACAAUGGGCGCAAGCCUGAUGCAGCCAUGCCGCGUGUAUGAAGAAGGCCUUCGGGUUGUAAAGUACUUUCAGCGGGGAGGAAGGGAGUAAAGUUAAUACCUUUGCUCAUUGACGUUACCCGCAGAAGAAGCACCGGCUAACUCCGUGCCAGCAGCCGCGGUAAUACGGAGGGUGCAAGCGUUAAUCGGAAUUACUGGGCGUAAAGCGCACGCAGGCGGUUUGUUAAGUCAGAUGUGAAUUCCCCGGGCUCAACCUGGGAACUGCAUCUGAUACUGGCAAGCUUGAGUCUCGUAGAGGGGGGUAGAAUUCCAGGUGUAGCGGUGAAAUGCGUAGAGAUCUGGAGGAAUACCGGUGGCGAAGGCGGCCCCCUGGACGAAGACUGACGCUCAGGUGCGAAAGCGUGGGGAGCAAACAGG